rfam:Ancylostoma ceylanicum strain HY135 Acey_s0388_scaf, whole genome shotgun sequence.
CCAACGGCCCUCUUUAGGGCCACAUAUGAAAAAUUAGCGAAUACU